UACAUGUGGGGCAAGCGUUGUUCGGAAUUACUGGGCAUAAAGGGUGCGUAGGCGGCUUGUUAAGUCAGGGUGAAAGUUUCGGCCCAACCGGAAAUUGCCUUUGAUACUGGCGAGCUCGAGUGCGUGAGGGUAACCGGAACGAGUCGUGAGCGGUGAAAUGCGUAGAUAUGACUCGGAAGGCCAACGGCGAAGGCAGGUUACGUGGU
rnacentral:rRNA from 1 species